CCACCAAGCACUGCUUGUUUCUAACUCUCUGGCCACCAGCAACAUGAGUAGAUUAACCGUAAUUGUGCUCCAAAGAGAGUAGAAUCACAGGGAAUCUCUCCAUGGGGAUUUCUCAUUCAUUUGUUUCUUCUUAUCCAUGUCUUCACUGAUGGACCCCCAUUACCUGGAACCAUGUCUAGUUCAUAGUCAGUACUCAACAAGGCUAGAGGUGGCCUCAUGAAGGGCACAGGGUUUAUUGACGCAGGCACAUCCAGGUGACAGGAAAGUGGCUCUUAUGGGACCAGAUGACAAGAUCUUCAGGACAGAGAUGAACCAUCGCUCAGCUCCUCUUUGCAGGCUUUCUUCCUAUUGACUCGUAUCUUUUCUCUACAUCCUAAUUGCUGCUUCUUCAUGAACCUGACUUAGCAUAUGUUCUGCUUUCUCACGGUCAUCCUCUAAGCCCUACUCAGGGUAAUGACACCCUUCCAGCUUUAUUUCCACAGACAAAUGCUUCUUUAUCGCUUGCAUUCUGACCCAUGUCCCAGAAGCACAGAAUCACAUAGACGAAACUCAUCUUUUGCACCUGGGAUUGGUUUUUGGAGAGGCAGCCCUCGGGUCACAGUCCACCUCCUGGUCCAAUCAAGAGCCAUCCCUCAGUAAAGAACAACCAAGUUCAGCUGCUCAGAGCAGGGGGCUGUGGGUGGGGCAGUUUCACCUCAAAGAGGAAGUUGGGUGUGGCAGGCACUUUGUUGACAUAUCCAAUAUAGGAGUGCCCAUCUCUCGUCUCUCCCAGAGAUAACUGUGGGUUUGAACCUUUUACCAGACACUCCCAGAGAAAGCACAGCCUGAUGCACUGGGAACUUUGUGAGUUUGGAGUCUCCAUCAUCAAUUCCCUGCAGGGUUCCUCCCAGGACUACUGUGAUGCUUCAACCUGCACCUGUUUGGAGUUCAUUGGGAUCUGGAGCCUGUCUUCUGUUUAGAACCUUUGUUGGAUGAAUCACACAGAGAAGGCGUUAGAAGAUUGUGCUCUGAGUGAAGCUGUGGCCUGUGCUUGAAGAGCAGACGUCAUCCCCAAAGCAUCAGAACAGGCAUCAAGUAUCCUGCCCUCCAUUCCUGAGUGCUGAAGAUGGGAUAAAGUUGGGAUGAUGCAGAGUUGAAAAACUGAAGGGGAUGUUAUCUUCAGCUCUGUGUACCCACAAUGCCAAGACUAGAAGCUGAACAAAGAAAUCCUCAAGAAAAUCUACUUUUAGGUGCCACACCAGCUAGAAAAUAAAUAGUUGCUUUAGUGAAUCUGGCAUCGUUUUAGAAACGAACAACAUUCAUAUCUUGCUAAAAUAGUUGGACAGGUAGACACAACUUCAUUCUUCCUUUCUGGCCAUACUUGACACUCUAGAGAGAGGAGGAGGAAGAGGGAAGAUUUUAAAAUCAUCUGUGAAUGUUUGACUUUAGGGAACGGAAUUAUCUCCAACCAGAAAGAUCCUUACAAGGGACCAUGACUGUAGAGUGUAGAGACAAGGACAGUUGGUGAGUCAUUAGGUCAUUUGCAUAUUAUAACAACAUUUUAUAAAGUCUAUAGGUUAUUACAACAUUAAACAUAUCCAUCCAACUCAAUCAUAUUCUUUCAAUAUAGUGGGUAUUUGUGGGAUGCCAUGGAAACCAGGACACACAUGUUUUAAUCCUUGCUAACACAUGGGUUGAUUUUUUCACUUUUAGUCUAUUUACUUCUCUAAGAUGUUUCAAAUAAUAGAAGCUAGCUGUAGAAGUAUUGCAAUGUAAGUUCAAGCCUCAUCUCUACUGUGUUAGUAUGUAGACUUGGAACAAACUAUAUUUUCUGUAAGUUCCUGUGUCUUUGUUUGCUGAAAGAAAAGGUAUCUCUUUUCUGGAAAAUUUAAAAGAACAUGGUGAGAUUACGCAUUCAGAAUAUCUAGCACUUAGGAGUUGUUACGUAAAUGCCUGCUCUGUAGGAAAGUCAGAAAACAUGAGGCAGGCUCAUUGGUUAACCAUGCUUCCUAACCUCAUGGUAUCACUAGAGAAUAAGAAUACAGGCCAGCCACAUGGUAACUAAGUUCCUUUGUUCUCUGUAGUAUUCAGCCAAUAUAGAAGUCAGCACAGGCAUGGGUGGGCAGGAAGGGAGGUGAGAGAAACAUGGAGAAAGACACUGGACCAGCUCCUUUCUUCCUCUGGGCAGAGAAUCUCCUGGCAUUCCUUCAAUGGUAGAGUAUUAUGGCUGCCUUCUGGAGUGUAUGAACCAAGCCAGGCUACCAAAAUGCUUUCCAUCCAAUCUCCAUACAUGUUGCUCCUUGCUCUGGGUAACUGCCCAUACAAGUAAUUUGCCAAAGCAAGCAAGGGAGCUGCAUUACCAACUAACUGCUCCAUCCACAGAGCUGACAAGCCACUGUGUCAUCAAAGAAAGAGAGAGUCAUAAGAAGCAAAAGGCUGUGGCUCCACCUUUCUGUCAGGGAGUCAGUGGCUGUGAGGUGGCAGACUGACUCUUGCUGGUAGUCAAGUUUCUCUUCAUGGCCUCUUCCUCCCUUUGCCUGCCCACUGCUGAGUUCCACUGGAUGGGCAGGGAGUAUCUACUCCAAUCAUCCUGUAUUGGCUGUGCACUAGGUUCUUAACAUUUAUCUGACAGACCAAUAUAGAAUCUUCUGUGAGAGUAACAAUUAUAAUAAGUGUGUAGACUCCUGUGUAGGAUGAUUUUUCUUUUUGGGCUACCAGCUCACAAAAAAUGACAGACUUAUUAUUAAUUAUGAAAGCUCGGCCUUAGCUUAGGUUUGCUUCUAACUAGCUCUUAUAACUUACAUUAGCCCAUGUUUUAAAAACCAUGUUCUUCUACAAGCUCAUUUCCUCAUCUCCAUUGUGUCCAUCCUGGUCAUCCUGAGUCUGGAUGACAACUCUGCCAUUCUUCUUCCCAGAGCUCUCUCUGCCCAGAAGUCCCACCUAUACCUCUUGCCUAGCUAUUGGGUGCUUAGCUUUUAGUUAAACAAAUCACAGAGAUCCAUCCUCAUACAGUGUAGAGGAAUAGUCCACAACACUUCAAUUAUUGUUCAAUGGCAUCUGGUAUGUAGUGUCAGCUGUGGAGGAGCUCAGGAAGGGAACCAGUAGGCUAAGAAAGGCUUCAGAGAAGAUUAGGCACUGAAGUGGGACUCCGCAGGUGAGGAAACAGGGAGAAGAAGGAAGAAAAGCGUUCUGGGCAAAGAAAGUACAUACAGAGAGGUCAGGAGAAGGUCAGUCCACAGCCUGACUGGGAAGUGGCUGGUAAUCUGAUGGCACCAGAACACGGUUUGUGCAGGACAGCAGCAGGGAAAGAGUAAAUGUGACCGGAGGUCAAGGGAUUGCUAUGUCAGUCCAUGGAGUUGAGGCAUGAACCAAUUGGAAGGGUGGCAUUUAAGUCUGGAGUUGUAAGAUACACUUGUGUUUUGGAAAGUCCUGUGGGAUUAGUGUUAUCAACUGGUUGGCAAAAUGUAAGAAAGGGAACCAGGGAGCUAUGCGGCUGCGUGAGGUUGUUGGUGCUGUUACGUGGUGAUGGCACAAACAGGUCAAGAAGGAUAAGGAUCGAGAAUCUGUCUGUUGCAAUUGGCAGUUGGAAGUCUGGUGACACCUAGAAGUCAUUUCAUUUAAAACAAGUCCAACAUAAUGGAGAUAACUGAAGGUUCCAGACCAGCAGCACCAGCAAGCCCUAGUAAAUAUAGUCAGUUUCAAGAACUUCCUGAUGUUAUUUUGAGUUUAACUUCCUGCUUAAAGAACUUUCCUGCAGAAUGGAAUGUUUCAGUAUUGGAGGAAACUGUCAUAUAAUAAAUCUUUCCCUCUUUA